GCCUCUAAUCCCAGCACUCAGGAGGCAGAGACCAGCCUGGUCUACAGAGUGACAGUCCAGGACAGCCAGGGCUAUAAAGAGAAACCCUGUCUUGAAAAACAAACAAAAAAAAAAAAAAAAAAAAAACCCAAAAACCAAAAAACACCAAAACCAAAACCCCUAAUCUUUAGGGAAAAGAAAAAUGAUAAAAAAGAUUAAAAAAAAAAAAAAAGGUUGAAGAACAACUUAAGACCUGAUGCCUCCAUUUGUCCCUACUCCUGUGCACACAGAUUCACCACGCACAUAUAUACAAAUAAGAAUACAUAGUCCACCUAGUCCAUCCGGAUGACAGUAAGGAUGUAUGGGCUCCACUGCUUUGUCACUAGCUCACUGUGUGAUCUUAAAUACAGAGCUCCCUUCCUUUAAAUGGCUAGGAGAGCUGAAGAGAAGGCUCAGAGCUUAAAGAGCACUGGCUGCUCCUCCAGAUGACUUGGGUUUGAUUCCCAACACCCACAUGAUGGCUUACAACAAUCUGUAUCUGCAGUUCCAGGAGAUUUGAUAUCCUCUUCUGGCCUUCACAGGCACCAGGCACUCACAUGCUAUGUAGACAUACAAUGCAGCAAAGCACCCAUACACAUAAAAUAAACAAAAUCCGCCAACGCCUCGGAGGGUGACUGCCUGUGUGACGGUGGAAGGAGGGAACUGACUCCACAGAGUUGUCCUCUGACCUCUACAUGGCCAUGGCCUGCAUGUGCCCAUGUGCGUGUGUACACACAACAGUGAAUACAGACGGAAAUAGAAGCAAGGGACAUGCAGGUAGAGGGGUGGCACAUAGCUCUGCUGACUCAUUCUGCUGCAGACAUCUCCCAGCAGCAGCAAGGCCCAUCCUCUCACGUCAGAGGGGGACUAAUGUGAGAGCUUUCCUAGUUUGUGUAAGCACAGGUGCUGAUGCAAAGGGCCAGCCCCAGGGCCCCCUCACCUGAUGGAGAUGAGAGAGCAGGGAGCUUGCUCCAGGGCUGCUGGGGCCUGGCAUAGAAAGUGGAUGGCCCAGUUUCCCCUGGCUCCUUUGGAAAAGGCUGGGCUGCUGAGGCCUUGUAGCCCUGGACCUAUAGAUGGGACACUGGGUUAGAGCUUCGUAUGUUUUCAUCUUUCUCACUUCCCAGUCUACGCUUCGGUGUGCCUUGCUGCCUGUGCAAGCUUGGGAGAGGCCGUGUGCCUUCUUCAUAGCCUGCAGCCUGCCUGCCUUCAUUCCUACCAGGCUGUCUAUCCAGAAAUA
rnacentral:lncRNA from 1 species